rnacentral:rRNA from 1 species
CCUACGGGCGGCAGCAGUGGGGAAUAUUGCGCAAUGGAGGCAACUCUGACCCAGCAACGCCGCGUGCAGGAAGAAGGCCUUCGGGUUGUAAACUUCUGUUGUCAAGGAAGAACAUAAUGACGGUACUUUACAAGCAAGCCCCGGCUAACUAUGUGCCAGCAGCCGCGGUACGACAUGGGGGGCAAGCCGUGUUCGGAAUUACUGGGCGUAAAGGCAGGGGAGGCGGGAGAUUAAGUUAAGGGUUAAAGCCUUGGGCUCAACCCAAGAAAUGCGUGUGAUACUGGUAUUCUAGAGUGUGGGAGAGGUAAGUGGAAGUCCUAGUGUAGCGGUGGAAUGCGUAGAGAUUAGGAGGAACACCAGAGGCGAAGGCAGCUUACUGGACCAAAACUGACGCUGAGGCUCGAAAGCGUGGGGAGCAAACAGGAUUAGAUACCCGGGUAGUC